UUAUGCCAAGGUAAUCCUAUCAAUAAUAUAUUAUAAUAAUAAUAAUAAUAAUAAUAAUAAUAAUAAUAAUAAUAAUAUACAAUAUGUUACAUAUUAGUUUUAACUUGAAAUAUAAUAAUUAGUUUUUUUUCACAUGCUAUAUGAAAGGUAUCGAAAGUGUGGUAUUCCUGAAACUCAUGAUUUAGGUCAACUUGAAGGUAAGAGAGGUUUAGGUUUAAAAAUAAUCAUGCCAACUCGUGAAGAGUUACAUUUAGUGGUGCUAAAACACAUGAGAUGUCUUACUCCAUAGAUUGAUGAACACAUGGACAUGUUAAAAACCCUUAUCAUGUAGUUCAAGUUCUCAUAUUCAAGAGAUAUGUGGGUGUGGGAUUUUGGUGAACUCGAUGAUUAUACAGUUUUAAAAGCUUGUAGAGUUAUUGGUGAUACUUCUUUUACAGAUGGAGCUCGGUCUAUCAUGUGCAAUAAAUAUAUCUCCCAUAAAUUUAAUAUAUUUAAUUGGAUAUGUUGGUUAAGCAUAUUACCAACUAGUCUUAACUUAGCUGACAAAGGCUUGGAUGUUCCUUCUGUGGUUUGUUUGAUCUGAAAUGGUGGCAUGGAAGACAUCAAUCAUAUUCUCAUUCAUUAUGAGGUGGCUAUCGAUCCUUGUAAGUUUCUUGGGAGAUGAUACGAUACUACGAUGUUACUUUUCCUACUUUCUUAGAAAUUGAAGAUGUGGUGACCUGGAUCGACUUGCUUCACUUGUUUGUUGUCGAACGAUGUGAUGUUGAAGCCAUUAUCAUGGAUAUGUGUUUGUUGCUUGGGAACUUCAGGGACAAUAUUAUCUUUAAAGGACAAAAGAUGAAAUAGAAUAUGUUGAUUGAUAGCUUGAUCGGUUAUUCCUAUAAUUGGUUUGUUCUUAGGAAUAGAAAAUUUAGCAUUAGUCAUGUUGUGUGGCUUUCAAACCUGAUUUUACAUAUUCCUUUGUAGUUCUUGUUACCCUUUGCAAACUUUCUCUUAAAAUAUCAGUUGUUCAAAAAAAAAAUAGACAGAUAAUAAACUAAAGUUACAACACAACGCUAAUAUUUUGUAGAAAAAAAAUGUUGUUUGGUGUUUGAGAAGCCAAUUCAUGCCCUUGGUGUUUGAGAAGUCAAUAGGAUCGUAAGAUCUUUUAGCAGUCUUGAAUCUACAAAACGUAGGGUUGAGCAAAACUAAAACCGAAAAACCAAAACCGACAAAACCAAAACCGACAAAUCAAAACCAAAUCCAAACCGUUGGGUUUGGAUUUAAACUUCUAAAAAAUGAGAAAAUGGGUUCUAGGUUCAGUUUUAGUACUUAAAACCGACCCAUAGGAACCGGCCCAACCCAUUAGGUUGAACCCAACUUAAAACCGAUCCGUUCUAUAUAAAAUUAUACCGAUUAUAUAAGUAUUUUAUUAUAAAGCGUGAGAUAUUAUCAAAAGUCCUAAGUUGCCCAGCCGGUUAAGUCGCAUAUCAAGGGUUUUAGUUGGGUCACUACAACCGGUUCAACUGGACUUUCUCAAAAACCUAUCAAAUGUCUCCGACAUAGAAUUAGCAUAAAACUGGUACUUAUUAAAUUGGUCACUACCGUGGUUCUAAUUCAACCAGUAAAUCAGCCAGUUAAACCAAUUUAUAAAACCUUUAAAUCAGACGAUUAACCUAAUUUUUAAAACCUUGGGUGGUAGAAUAUAAUUCAAUGUAGGAAUAUAUGUGUUUUAUUGGGCUAGAAGAAUUUUAUGUCCUCGGACCCAUACCUAAUCGGCAGUUAACCCGUCUUUAUGACUAUCUUGAGCAAUCGAAGGACAACCUGCUUCAGCUCCACCUUGAGGAACAUCUUCAUACUAGUCCACCACCAAAGACACGAGGCUAUGUUGAAAAUUUCCACGUCUACUUUCAUUGUCCAACUUCUUCAUAUCAAUUUGAGCAACAUACUUUCCGACAUUUGAUACUACCUCAAAGCCACCAUAUUCCACCCACCCAUUUAGAGAUACUCUCCCCCUUCUCUGCCAUACCAAAACAACCAUCUCGGUGGACCAUCACUUCUUAUCGAAUCUUGUAUCUUGACUCAAAAUGGCAAGCCUCUUGUACGAGGACUAGGUAUCCCUCACUUGCAAGCCUCUUUCCGAAAAAUGGAAACCACAUUCUUUAUUUCUUAGCAACGCCUCCACCUUGUACCAAAACUCAACUCGCCAUAGUAAUAUGUUCUUUGUAACCAUGCCAAUUUACCACUUGAAGCACCACCCCUCUAUUGUGUCAAAUAACCAAGACCGUCACAGCUUUCUUCCAUGAAACAACUCAAUUUCCCUCCUCCCAAGAACUAGUGUCUUUGUUCUUCAACUCAACUUUCUUGAUCAAUCAAACAUUAUGAAACCCAUGAGUGACCUAACACCCAAUGGUCUCAAUUCACCCUUUUCAUUAAUCCUAGAAAUUCAAUGCCCAAGAGCAAACCAGUCACCACAUUAUUGAUUACUUUAGGACUUUUAUUGAAUACCUUGUGUACAAUCUCAAGACUCAAUCUCAACACAAACUUUCUUUGUGGAAGGACUUCAUUUUCAAUUCAAAUCACUAAAACAAAGGCAGUUGAACAAAACAAAACGAAUUUCAUUGUUUUUGUUACCUAACCUUCGAAAUUGAAGAACUUCCAGCCUACCCCACUGGUGACUUGGUGAUUGGUGUGAAAUUUGAAUUCUGAAAAUUCUGCAUUGAUUUUGAUCAAAUCCUUUUCGAAAACUCAAGUGGAUCUGCACCCAAACCUAUUUUCGUCACCCUUGAUCGAUUACCAUGAACAGGCUCCAAGAACUUCACAAAAACAGCCCCUUCAUUGAAAAAAAUAAAAAAUAUAUAAAAAUAAAACAACCUCCCCUCAAGCACUCAUACCAAUUUGUUGUGCAUUUGCCGAAACAUAACGAAAUAAUUAGGAAAAAAUCGUUAGAAAAAAAAAAAAAAAAAGUAUGCCAAAAGUUUUCCCUACUAGCAGAAGUGAUUCUGGAAAUUAUUUCUAACAGAACCAAACUUAUUUAUGUAUGUCACUAUAUAUAUAUUGAACAGCCGCAGUUGUCCUAUAUUGGUAUGUUAUUAUCUAUACAUACAUUUUUAUAGAAUAAUAUAAUUAGUGUUGUAGUCGCAUUGUGGAUUCAUCCACUCAUGAUUUCAGUUGUAGUAUUUGAUAUUUUAUAACUUCAAAAUCAAUAAACUUGCUAGCCAAUCAACAUCCUACAAAUAAUUCAACAUACAUAGAUUUUUUUUCCCUUUUAAUGUGGCACUGAAAUUAAAUCCGUAGGGAAAAUUCAACUUCCCUAAGAUGUAUGACAUAGUAACGCGCAUGCUUCAUUUGUGAGUGUAUGCCUUUGUGAUAAGAAAUACUAUGAUUUUUCUCGGAAUCAAAUUGACGUACCUAGUUGAAUACGUACAACAACGUUUAUUCGUUUAUAUGUUUUGCAAAUUUAUGACCUGUGAUUUUUUAUGAUGAAAUGAAAACAUGUUACAAAAUCGCUGUCUGAAUGAUUGAAUACUGAAUCCCAACACUUGAGCAGCUCUUACAGGAACACAAGAAAUGGAUAGACAAUCAUAAAUAAUUAAGUUGCAUGAGGCAAAAUCGUUGAGUGCUAGUAUUUAGCAAGCUUUGCAUAUAUACCAAAG
rnacentral:lncRNA from 1 species